rnacentral:rRNA from 1 species
UACGUAGGGUGCAAGCGUUAUCCGGAUUUACUGGGCUUAAAGGGUGCGUAGGCGGUUCUGUAAGUCAGUGGUGAAAUCUUCAAGCUUAACUUGGAAACUGCCAUUGAUACUAUAGGUCUUGAAUUAUCUGGAGGUAAGCGGAAUAUGUCAUGUAGCGGUGAAAUGCUUAGAGAUGACAUAGAACACCCAUUGCGAAGGCAGCUUACUACGGAUUGAUUGACACUGAGGCACGAAAGCGUGGGGAUCAAACAGG